AUGUCUCCGUGGAGGGAAUUGUUCCACAAACCAAGGAUUUGGAGUUGCGAACAUGCAGAGAGUUCAGGCGGGAUGUUACCUUCCAAAGUGUUCAUGCUGAGGUUGAGGUCGCGGAGCCCGCUCAGGAGGCCAAGCUCUGAUGGUAUGCCACCACUCAAGCUAUUAUUUGACAGUUGCAGCCUUGUAAGAGAGGUCAGGUUGGCAAUGCAAGGUGGUAUGGAGCCUGAGAUGCCUCCUGACUGGAGGUCCAGCGCAAUCACACGACGAGGGGACACCAUGCUGCAGGUGAUCCCAUGCCACUCGCAAACGUCGAGGGACGUGUUGCUCCAUGAAGCUAAAACUCCUGCUGGACCCGAGAGCCAGGACUUGAAACAAAGGAGGGAUUGUCUAUCAUUUUCGGUUUCACCGCAGGUGGCUAAUGUCAGGCAGCAAAAGAAGGCAAAGAGGCAUAGAAACCAAACAAAACCUGGAAACAAGACACCCGAAGACGCCAUUGUUAUUGUUUGCAGGAGUAUGUGGAUGAAAGCUCUGAUUUGUAAGAGGAUGUUUAAGCACUCAACUAUGGAGAGGGAUAGUAGCUAA
rnacentral:rRNA from 1 species